CCUACGGGAGGCAGCAGUGAGGAAUAUUGCUCAAUGGACGAGAGUCUGAACCAGCCAAGUAGCGUGAAGGAUGACUGCCCUAUGGGUUGUAAACUUCUUUUAUAUGGGAAUAAAAUGUUCCACGUGUGGGAUUUUGUAUGUACCAUAUGAAUAAGGAUCGGCUAACUCCGUUCCAGCAGCCGCGGUAAUACGGAGGAUCCGAGCGUUAUCCGGAUUUAUUGGGUUUAAAGGGUGCGUAGGUGGAUUGUUAAGUCAGUUGUGAAAGUUUGCGGCUCAACCGUAAAAUGGCAGUUGAAACUGGCAGACUUGAGUACAGGAGAGGUAGGCGGAAUGCGUGGUGUAGCGGUGAAAUGCUUAGAUAUCAAGAAGAACACCGAUUGCGAAGGCAGUUCACUGGACUGCAACUGACACUGAGGCACGAAGGUGAGGGGAUCAAACAGGAUUAGAUACCCUAGUAGUC
rnacentral:rRNA from 1 species